rnacentral:rRNA from 1 species
CCCAGACUCCUACGGGAGGCAGCAGUGAGGAAUAUUGGUCAAUGGGCGCGAGCCUGAACCAGCCAAGUAGCGUGAAGGAUGACUGCCCUACGGGUUGUAAACUUCUUUUAUAAAGGAAUAAAGUGAGGCACGUGUGCCUUUUUGUAUGUACUUUAUGAAUAAGGAUCGGCUAACUCCGUGCCAGCAGCCGCGGUAAUACGGAGGAUCCGAGCGUUAUCCGGAUUUAUUGGGUUUAAAGGGUGCGUAGGCGGACUGCCAAGUCAGCGGUAAAAUCGCGGGGCUCAACCUCGCUCCGCCGUUGAAACUGGCAGUCUCGAGUUGGAGAGAAGUAUGCGGAAUGCGCGGUGUAGCGGUGAAAUGCAUAGAUAUCGCGCAGAACUCCGAUUGCGAAGGCAGCAUGCCGGCGCCACACUGACGCUGAGGCACGAAAGCGUGGGUAUCGAACAGGAUUAGAUACCCCUGUAUC